rnacentral:rRNA from 1 species
CGCGGCCUAUCAGCUUGUUGGUGGGGUAGUGGCUUACCAAGGCUUUGACGGGUAGCCGGCCUGAGAGGGUGACCGGCCACAUUGGGACUGAGAUACGGCCCAGACUCCUACGGGAGGCAGCAGUGGGGAAUAUUGCACAAUGGGCGGAAGCCUGAUGCAGCAACGCCGCGUGCGGGAUGACGGCCUUCGGGUUGUAAACCGCUUUCGCCUGUGACGAAGCGUGUGUGACGGUAAUGGGUAAAGAAGCACCGGCUAACUACGUGCCAGCAGCCGCGGUGAUACGUAGGGUGCGAGCGUUGUCCGGAUUUAUUGGGCGUAAAGGGCUCGUAGGUGGUUGAUCGCGUCGGAAGUGUAAUCUUGGGGCUUAACCCUGAGCGUGCUUUCGAUACGGGUUGACUUGAGGAAGGUAGGGGAGAAUGGAAUCCCUGGUGGAGCGGUGGAAUGCGCAGAUAUCAGGAGGAACACCAGUGGCGAAGGCGGUUCUCUGGGCCUUUCCUGACGCUGAGGAGCGAAAGCGUGGGGAGCGAACAGGCUUAGAUACCCUGGUAGUCCACGCUGUAAACGGUGGGUACUAGGUGUGGGGUCCAUUCCACGGGUUCCGUGCCGUAGCUAACGCUUUAAGUACCCCGCCUGGGGAGUACGG